UAUUCCUUUAAUACUGUCCAGAGAGGCAGGCAAGGAGACCAGAAAAAAGUACAGGUUAACUGUACCCUAUUUGUCCAUCUCCUUGAUUUUUCAGGGAGAUUUUUUGUAU
rfam:Streptococcus agalactiae LMG 14747 ctg7180000010254, whole genome shotgun sequence.